GAAUAACGGUAAAUUUACUUAGACACGAAAAAAGCAGCUAAUUUAGCUACAAAAUUUAAAGCAUAGGACAAUGGACAUCAAUAUUUGCUAAAUCAUAGCAUAGGACAUCAGUAUUUGCUACAAAAUUUAAAGCAUAGCUACAAAAUUUAGUUACAAAAAACCAUAGGACAUCUGUAUUUGCUAAAUCAGACAAUGGAAACCACAUCCUUUAUUGUAUCAGAUACAAACUGUAAAAACUGUAUUUAAAGCAUCUUCGGAUAACGACCAGAAAGUAUAAGGAUUAGUACAGUUGCUGCCUACCAAAACUUCAUCACCCAUUCGUGAAAGCUUAUGACGAACAAAUAUCCUCAAUACCAAGGUACCUGACAGAUGAUCUUGCUAGCUAAUAAAAGAAAUAACAGUGUUUCUAUAUAUAUACUAAAACUUUGUAAGUUAUUUAACCAUAACAACAUUUGGCUCAGAUGCAAAAGAAACUCAAAAUCCUUCUCUUAUCGAACACAGAAAACAUAGCAGCUAAAAUUCUAAAUGAACAAAGACAACAAACACGAGGGAAAGAUAGAUACACUCUAACCAAAUAUUGCUAACUGAAAUAUUUGAAAGCACCCACAUCAUUCCAAGAAAAAAAAAUAGUAGCAUAAAUCCAAACAGGAUUAAAGGUUGCAAAUAUGACCGCAACAAGAUGUUUAGAACUACUUUAUUGCAAGUAUGGAUGUAAAACAAACUUUAACAAUUGAAAGGAAAUAAAUAGUUCAAAAAAAUAUUAUAAUUAAAUCUAAUGUGAGGUUGAAUGGGAUUACCUGCUAUUCUUUUCCGGCAGAAAAGUCCCAACUAAAGACUCCAAAGGGAAAAAGAAGAAACCAACACAUGCAUAUGAUUAAGAAAAUGUGCAAACCACUAUUUUUUCUAAUUUUAAACUCCUGGAUAAUUAAUUUUAAUAUCAGUCCUGCUAGGCCUCAACUGAUUUCCAAACACUGAACAAAGCUUAUAAAGCCAUAAAGCUUACGAUUGCACUAGAGAGUAGAGACACAACAAAUAAGGCAAAAUUAUAAUUAGGUAAUAUAGGAAAAGAUUAUAACACUGUGAGAGAUAUAAUAUAAUCUGAGAUUGUCACGUGAAACCCAAUUUUGAGUGCAGCAAUGCCCAAUACAAAAUCAGAUAGCAACACUAAAGUAGAGAUAAUUUGCUAAGAAAAUUACACAUAAAAAAAUUAAAAAAAAAAUUAAAGCUUUUGCUUGCAUAGGAACAAAGGCAGAAAACCCAAAUCCAAAAUGAGGCCUCCUCAUCUCUUUUUCAUUAUUUUUUUCACCUUCCACAACCUUUGGCUAUGAUUGAGUGAAUCGGACAAAGGUUUCUUCACUGUCCAUUUUCUCUUCAUCACCCAACACAGCAUCCUAUGUCAUAACUUCAUCUCUUUGCCACUUUUAGAUGCCUUUUCUGUUUCCCAUCCCUCUUCUCUCUCUUUGAUUAGACUUAGACCCAUUAGAAUAAUGGCUUCGCAUGUAACCUUUUGUUUGAUUGGUAUUGCACUGGAAUGAAUGGUCUUUAUUGUUUUUUUUCCCUAGACAAAUGUGGGAAAGUGAAAGAAAAUAAGUAAAACCCAAGUCAUUCUUUUUCUUGAGCUUUUCCUUUUCGUUUUUACCUAAUUAUAUAUUUUUCUCCUGGGUCGUUGCUGCAUUUAGGCUAACAAUGAGGAAGCAUGGAUGGCAACUUCCAUAUCACCCCCUUCAGGUAGUGGCUGUUGCUGUGUUUCUUGCAUUGGGGUUUGCUUUUUAUGUGUUCUUUGCUCCUUUUGUUGGGAAGAAGCUAUUUCAAUAUAUUGUGAUGGGAAUCUACACUCCUUUGGUAAGCCAUUUCGCAUCUUUCCCUUUAGUUUCUUUAUGUUUAGUUGAAUAAUUUUUUAGUAGGUUGAACAAGUGAGAUCUGUGGUUCCUUGGCCUGUUGAUUCAGAUUCAUAUGUUUGUUCUGUGCUCUCAAUCUUUCCCACUUUAUUUGUUGUGCUUAAUUUUAGCACUUGAAUACAUAUAUCCUCUCAAGGGUAUGAAGCAACCUUUAUUUUUGUUGAUAGGGGCAAGUAAGUUACUUGUUAGUCACUUGACUACUAACUAACUCUAUUCCAUAUGGAUUUAAUUCUGUUGUAAAGAAGCUCUGGUUUUCUCACUUGUUUGGACAUGAGCACAGUAGUAUAAAUUUCCUCUGGAUACUAAUACUGCUAUCAUUCUUAUGGGUUUAAGACGUUUGGGAUGUUUGAUAAAGCAGCUUCGUAAUUGUGAUCUUCCAAUUGACUAAAUAUGAAGCUUGUCCCUGUAAAAGUUUUGAUCCUUCCAACCUCAAACUUGCUGAAUCACUUGGCUUGGCUGGCUCUUUGCUUUGCAUUUAAUUAUUGUAUUUAUAAUUGCUCUGAACGUCAAAUUCUUCUUGAAUACAUGAUUUUAGUUGUGAAAUUUUUUAUUGAAAGUGAAAAUCUAUUAUUUUCAGCAUUGCAUUCUUUCAUGGUAUUGGGAAUUGAAACAAAUAUGAAAAUUUGAGGACUUGAUUGCACAAAUUGAAUAUUCAGGGACCACAUUUUUAAAGUUGUGAGUUUGAGGACCAAAUUUAGAUGCAUUCUGCUUGGAAUUGACAAUGGCUAAUAAUCAAGCUUGUGCUGCGGCCAACAUAAAGUUCUAUUUUUAUAUAUGAGGUCUGAUGAUAAUAUCGGUUUUUAAAUUGCAAAACUAUUUAAAAAAAAAAAGAAAAAAGAAUCUACUGUGUGCAAUGCUUUUCUGAGUUAUCUAGCACUAUAUGUAACAAUCAACUUCAUAAAACUUUAUCACAUUCAUAUGCAAACCUGUGCCCAUCACUUCAAUUUAGACCACGAAAUGGCUUCCAUUUAAGAUUAUUCUAGGGGUAAUUUGAAGAAAUUGUGUAAUUAAUCCAGUAGAACUAAAAAGUGGCUGAAAUGGUUCUCUGGAACUUAAGUUCAGUGAAGCCAAAUGGUAUUAGUAUAAGCAAGAUAAUUGGAACCAAGGCUAGGCAAUGGCUUUCUUAGUAUAACAAUACAUGUACAAUUGUUAAUGACACAAACAGGUUGUGUAAUCUGUCAUGAGCAUAAGUUGAGGUGUCUGCAUAUUUCCAUUCACAAUUCUUGUUGAUGAUAACGCUUCUAGGUCAUGUUGUACUAC
rnacentral:misc_RNA from 1 species